GACGAACGCUGGCGGCGUGCUUAACACAUGCAAGUCGAACGGAAAGGCCUCUUUCGGGGGGUACUCGAGUGGCGAACGGGUGAGUAACACGUGAGUAACCUGCCCUUGACCUUGGGAUAACUUCAGGAAACUGGGGCUAAUACCGGAUAGGAGCUCCUGCUGCAUGGUGGGGGUUGGAAAGUUUCGGCGGUUGGGGAUGGACUCGCGGCUUAUCAGCUUGUUGGUGGGGUAGUGGCUUACCAAGGCUUUGCCGGGUAGCCGGCCUGAGAGGGUGACCGGCCACAUUGGGACUGAGAUACGGCCCAGACUCCUACGGGAGGCAGCAGUGGGGAAUAUUGCACAAUGGGUGGAAGCCUGAUGCAGCAACGCCGUGUGCGGGAUGACGGCCUUCGGGUUGUAAACCGCUUUCGCUCAUGACGAAGCUUUGUGUGACGGUAGUGGGUAAAGAAGCACCGGCUAACUACGUG
rnacentral:rRNA from 1 species